rnacentral:rRNA from 1 species
AUGCACGCUGGCGGCGUGCCUAAUACAUGCAAGUCGAGCGAACAGACGAGGAGCUUGCUCCUCUGACGUUAGCGGCGGACGGGUGAGUAACACGUGGAUAACCUACCUAUAAGACUGGGAUAACUUCGGGAAACCGGAGCUAAUACCGGAUAAUAUAUUGAACCGCAUGGUUCAAUAGUGAAAGACGGUUUUGCUGUCACUUAUAGAUGGAUCCGCGCCGCAUUAGCUAGUUGGUAAGGUAACGGCUUACCAAGGCAACGAUGCGUAGCCGACCUGAGAGGGUGAUCGGCCACACUGGAACUGAGACACGGUCCAGACUCCUACGGGAGGCAGCAGUAGGGAAUCUUCCGCAAUGGGCGAAAGCCUGACGGAGCAACGCCGCGUGAGUGAUGAAGGUCUUCGGAUCGUAAAACUCUGUUAUUAGGGAAGAACAAAUGUGUAAGUAACUAUGCACGUCUUGACGGUACCUAAUCAGAAGGCCACGGCUAACUACGUG